rnacentral:rRNA from 1 species
GACGAACGCUGGCGGCGUGCUUAACACAUGCAAGUCGAACGGAAAGGCCCUUCCUUUGUUGGUUGCUCUAGUGGCGAACGGGUGAGUAACACGUGAGUAACCUGCCCUUGCCUUUUGUAUUACUUCAGGAAACUGGGGCUAAUACCGUAUAGGAGCUCCUGCUGCAUGGUGGGGGUUGGAAAGUUUCGGCGGUUGGUUCUGGAUUCGCGGCUUAUCAGCUUGUUGGUGGGGUAGUAGCUGACCAAGGCUUCGACGGGUAGCCGGCCUGAGAGGGAGACCGGCAACAUUGGGACUGAGAUGCGGCCCAGACGCGUACGGGAGGCAGCAGUGGGGAAUAGUGCAAAAUGGGCGGAAGCCUGAUGCAGCAACGCCGCGUGCGGGAUGAAGGCCUUCGGGUUGUAAACCGCUUUCGCCUGUGACGAAGCGUGAGUGACGGUAAUGGGUAAAGAAGCACCGGCUAACUACGUG